UGGCACACAACAGCAGGCUCAGAACUUCAAAAUUCUCUCAUGAAGUUUCUGAACAUGAACCCACUGAGUUGUCGUCGGGGGACACGGGGAGGGCCUCAGGAGGACGCGACGGACUACUUCUGAGGCUUAUGACACGAUAGUGUGCAGCAUCCGCACCUGAGCCAUGUUUCAAAAUAUAAGAGAUGUCGCACUUAGUGGCACUGCCUUAGAGAACUCCGAAUGCUCGCUCCUUCCUGUGAUGAAGCUCAUCCCAGAGCUGCUCCCAUUCUAUUCUGUCGCCAUCCUCUGAGGUUAGUGGUAAUAAGCGCUUUAUCUUUAACGUGGCUGAAACUGAGGGAACACAUUAGUGCUGCUGUCUGCUGACCACGCCUCACAGGACCAGAGUAGCAUCCUGAUCUGAGCAGAGCCAACUGGAUUCUCUCUCCCAGGAAGUGACACUGAGGACUUCAUGACACCGCUCAGUUCUUCCUUGACUUGGACAUCACUCCUUUCCCUGCAUCGUUGCGGCACGUGGACACAGACCCAGAGAAGACGUACGUACUGUUUCUUACAAACCCAACCACGGAAGGAAAACUUCUUACCGACAAAGUAAGAUGUCGUACAACGUCUGCAGUGCAGGACGCGGUCCCUACAAGGAGAGUCUGCGCCUGGAGGAGCCUUCCAGACUGCGGUACAGAAAGCUGGUACCCGGCCGCAUACAGCAGCGUCGCGUUGCACUGGAAAUGCAGACGUAAGGACUGGGGGCUGCGAGGCAGGCGGAAUUUGCAGGCAGAUUAUAAGCCUAGAGAGAAAUGCUAGAGGGACAUCCAGAAACCUGCCCCACGGCCUUCUACAUCAGAGAUUUAUUUUUGCUUUGUUUUUCCUUUUAAAGGUUAAAACUAAACCUCGUGCUUUCUGGUCAUACCCAUUUGCCAUGAUGCACUGAUAGCUAAUAUGUACCAGCAGCUUAUUGUCUGUGAUCCCAGAAAUGGUAUAUGCAACCAGGCAUGUUUAUAAAUGAAUGCUGUACACACACAUCUAUCUUUUUUAUUCCACCACCAAACGUGUACAGUUUUAUACCUCAUACUUUUUAUCAUUUCUUGAUAUUCAUUCCUUGACCCAUUCAAUAAACACUGAGUGCCGUCACUUGUUA